rnacentral:rRNA from 1 species
UACGGGGGGGGCAAGCGUUGUUCGGAAUUACUGGGCGUAAAGGGCUCGUAGGCGGCCAACUAAGUCAGACGUGAAAUCCCUCGGCUUAACCGGGGAACGGCCUCUGAUACUGGCUGGCUGGAGUCCGGGAGAGGGAUGCGGAAUUCCAGGUGUAGCGGUGAAAUGCGUAGAUAUCUGGAGGAACACCGGUGGCGAAGGCGGCAUCCUGGACCGACACUGACGCUGAGGAGCGAAAGCCAGGGGAGCAAACGGG